AGUAAUACUUCUGAUACCAGUCU
rnacentral:snRNA from 1 species